rnacentral:lncRNA from 1 species
GAGAGCACUCCAGGCAUAUUUCUGAAUGGCUACAUUUCCCUUCCUCCAGCACAAGAGGAUUUUCCUGCAGUCUUUCCUAUGAGAACAUAGUAGGAUUCUUCAAGAUAAAACCCAUAUAUGGAAACUGAGCCCUCACACAUGGACCAAAUUCUGCCAAGCAGAGGAUAAAGGCAGAACAACAUGAUUGAAGGGAAGAUGCUUUUGUGAUAUAUCCCAGCAUGCUGAUGACCCCAAGGAAGACCACUGGAUACCUAGCAAGGUAAGAAAGAGAAUAGUUUCUGUUCCGAGAUUUUUAGGUUUGAGACUGGCCUAGG